AAUUACACCAAGCCACAGAGAAUUGGGAGUCAUGGCCUUGCACGAUGAGAAUGAAGAACAUGAGAAACUGUGACGUCAGCUUUCUGAUCCACCAGCCGGGCAAUAACUGCCACGCUAGUUCAGCAAGUGGCCAGAAUUUCUUACACAAAGAAGAGCCUUCAGGAACUAUGAGGACUUGGUAUUGAAACAAGAGAAACAAGGAUCUUUGUGAUAUCUCAACUCACGGGCCAUGAACUUGCUGGGCCUCCCCCGCCUCCUGGAGAAUAGCCCCACAUUGGACAAUGUUGAAGAACACCUCCAAGAGCUCUAGAAGAACCUUGCAGUAGGACCUCAGCAUCAAAGGCUGACAUCAGUGGUAUUGAGGACAUAGACAUAUUCAUUCAAGGAGAAUUUGGAAAAUUGCAUUGGACUGGCUUAAUUUCAGCAAUAUUCAGGAUUCCCGUGGCCAAAGUCUUCAAGCACAGGACAGAACGAAGAACACUGGCUCUGAAGUAGAAGACCUGAGUUCAAAUCCUACUUCUGACACUACCUGU